CAGGCCUAACACAUGCAAGUCGAACGCACCUUCGGGCGAGUGGAAAAUGGGUGAGUAACACGUGGGAACGUACCCUUUGGUUCGGAACAACUCCGGGAAACUGGAGCUAAUACCGGAUACGCCCUUAUGGGGAAAGGUUUAUCUGCCGAAGGAUCGGCCCGCGUCUGAUUAGCUUGUUGGUGGGGUAACGGCCUACCAAGGCGACGAUCAGUAGCUGGUCUGAGAGGAUGAUCAGCCACACUGGGACUGAGACACGGCCCAGACUCCUACGGGAGGCAGCAGUGGGGAAUAUUGGACAAUGGGCGCAAGCCUGAUCCAGCCAUGCCGCGUGAGUGAUGAAGGCCUUAGGGUUGUAAAGCUCUUUUGUCCGGGACGAUAAUGACGGUACCGGAAGAAUAAGCCCCGGCUAACUUCGUGCCAGCAGCCGCGGUAAU
rnacentral:rRNA from 1 species